rnacentral:rRNA from 1 species
AAAUUGAAGAGUUUGAUCAUGGCUCAGAUUGAACGCUGGCGGCAGGCCUAACACAUGCAAGUCGAACGGUAACAGGAAGCAGCUUGCUGCUUCGCUGACGAGUGGCGGACGGGUGAGUAAUGUCUGGGAAACUGCCUGAUGGAGGGGGAUAACUACUGGAAACGGUGGCUAAUACCGCAUAACGUCGCAAGACCAAAGAGGGGGCCCUUCGGGCCUCUUGCCAUCAGAUGUGCCCAGAUGGGAUUAGCUUGUUGGUGAGGUAACGGCUCACCAAGGCGACGAUCCCUAGCUGGUCUGAGAGGAUGACCAGCCACACUGGAACUGAGACACGGUCCAGACUCCUACGGGAGGCAGCAGUGGGGAAUAUUGCACAAUGGGCGCAAGCCUGAUGCAGCCAUGCCGCGUGUAUGAAGAAGGCCUUCGGGUUGUAAAGUACUUUCAGCGGGGAGGAAGGUGUUG